UUUUACAAAAACAUGUCCUUAAGAAUGAAUGAAUAUAAUUUUAGGUCGGGCCUGCCCAGUGAAAAUUUAAACGGCCGCAGUAUUUUGACUGUGCAAAGGUAGCAUAAUCAUUAGUUUUUUAAUUGAAAGCUGGAAUGAAUGGUUUGAUGAAAAAAUUUCUGUCUCAAAUUUAUUAGUUGAAUUUUAUUUUUAAGUUAAAAAGCUUAAAUGAGUUAAGAAGACGAGAAGACCCUAUAGAGUUUGAUAUUUUUAUAAAGAGAGAUAAAUUAGAAUAAUUUUUUUCUUUUUAAUAAAAUAUUUGAUUGGGGUGAUCAAAAAAUUUAAUAAACUUUUUUUCUUUUUUUAUAUAGAUUUAUAAAUGGAUGAUCCUUGAAAAGAUUAUAAGAUUAAAUUACCUUAGGGAUAACAGCGUUAUUUUAUCUGAGAGUUCUAAUCGAAGAUAAAGGUUGCGACCUCGAUGUUGGGAUUAAAA
rnacentral:rRNA from 1 species